AAGUGCGAAUGCUGACAUAAGUAACGAUAAAGCGGGUGAAAAGCCCGCUCGCCGGAAGACCAAGGGUUCCUGUCCAACGUUAAUCGGGGCAGGGUGAGUCGACCCCUAAGGCGAGGCCGAAAGGCGUAGUCGAUGGGAAACGGGUUAAUAUUCCCGUACUUGGUGUUACUGCGAAGGGGGGACGGAGAAGGCUAUGUUGGCCGGGCGACGGUUGUCCCGGUUUAAGCGUGUAGGUGUGUGUUCCAGGUAAAUCCGGUUCACUUUAACACUGAGGCGUGACGACGAGGCACUACGGUGCUGAAGCAACAAAUGCCCUGCUUCCAGGAAAAGCCUCUAAGCAUCAGGUAACAUCAAAUCGUACCCCAAACCGACACAGGUGGUCAGGUAGAGAAUACCAAGGCGCUUGAGAGAACUCGGGUGAAGGAACUAGGCAAAAUGGUGCCGUAACUUCGGGAGAAGGCACGCUGACACGUAGGUGAAGUGAUUUACUCAUGGAGCUGAAGUCAGUCGAAGAUACCAGCUGGCUGCAACUGUUUAUUAAAAACACAGCACUGUGCAAACACGAAAGUGGACGUAUACGGUGUGACGCCUGCCCGGUGCCGGAAGGUUAAUUGAUGGGGUCAGCGCAAGCGAAGCUCCUGAUCGAAGCCCCGGUAAACGGCGGCCGUAACUAUAACGGUCCUAAGGUAGCGAAAUUCCUUGUCGGGUAAGUUCCGACCUGCACGAAUGGCGUAAUGAUGGCCAGGCUGUCUCCACCCGAGACUCAGUGAAAUUGAACUCGCUGUGAAGAUGCAGUGUACCCGCGGCAAGACGGAAAGACCCCGUGAACCUUUACUAUAGCUUGACACUGAACAUUGAGCCUUGAUGUGUAGGAUAGGUGGGAGGCUUUGAAGCGUGGACGCCAGUCUGCGUGGAGCCGACCUUGAAAUACCACCCUUUAAUGUUUGAUGUUCUAACGUGGACCCGUUACCCGGGUUGCGGACAGUGUCUGGUGGGUAGUUUGACUGGGGCGGUCUCCUCCUAAAGAGUAACGGAGGAGCACGAAGGUUGGCUAAUCCUGGUCGGACAUCAGGAGGUUAGUGCAAUGGCAUAAGCCAGCUUGACUGCGAGCGUGACGGCGCGAGCAGGUGCGAAAGCAGGUCAUAGUGAUCCGGUGGUUCUGAAUGGAAGGGCCAUCGCUCAACGGAUAAAAGGUACUCCGGGGAUAACAGGCUGAUACCGCCCAAGAGUUCAUAUCGACGGCGGUGUUUGGCACCUCGAUGUCGGCUCAUCACAUCCUGGGGCUGAAGUAGGUCCCAAGGGUAUGGCUGUUCGCCAUUUAAAGUGGUACGCGAGCUGGGUUUAGAACGUCGUGAGACAGUUCGGUCCCUAUCUGCCGUGGGCGCUGGAGAACUGAGGGGGGCUGCUCCUAGUACGAGAGGACCGGAGUGGACGCAUCACUGGUGUUCGGGUUGUCAUGCCAAUGGCACUGCCCGGUAGCUAAAUGCGGAAGAGAUAAGUGCUGAAAGCAUCUAAGCACGAAACUUGCCCCGAGAUGAGUUCUCCCUGAGACUUAGAGUCU
rnacentral:rRNA from 1 species